UAUGUUACGACUUAUUCCAUUUUAUUGAAAUUGACGGGCAAUUUGUACACUUUUCAAAACUAUUUUCAAUUUAAUUAAUUUAUUAAAUUUACUUUUAAAUCCUCUUUCAAAUUAAUUUUAAAAUUUAAUUAUUCUAAAAUUAAAUUUAUUAUAAUUCAUAAAUUCUUAAAUAUACUACAUUUUGAUUUGAUUUAUUAUUUAAAAUUAAAUAUUAAUUAAAAAUAAAAUAAUUUAAUAUAAAAAUAUACAACAAUAUAUAAAUAUAAUUUAAGUAAAUCUUAUCGUGGAUUAUCAAAUUAAACUACAAAUUUCUCUAAUAAGAAUGAAAAGCCGCCAUAAAAUUUAAUUUUAAUGAUUUACAUUUAUUAAUAAAUUAAUUUUUUUAUUUUAAAUAGUAGGGUAUCUAAUCCU
rnacentral:rRNA from 1 species